UCUUUACCCCGAAGGUUAGGUAGCUAUCAUGAUCUGAUAGUUAAGUGGGCUUGCAUAUUGUCCUUAUCUUGAUUGGCUUCAUUUCUUUUGCUUUUCGCAGUAGUUUAUAUGAGCUAAUAGAGCAUGUACUUUUGCCGUUCAAAUUGGAGCCAAAGCAAAUCGAUCUACGAGAUUGCUUGAACUGAGCUCCUAAAUCAUAUCAUAGUUUGCAGGCUCUGUAAAAGAAGAUAAAAUGAACGCCCUCCGCUCGUUUUGGAACAGUCCUCUGGGCCCGAAAACUACUCAUUUCUGGGGUCCUACCUUAAACUGGAGCCUUCCUCUUGCGGCAGCGAUGGACACAAAGAAACCCCCGGAAACGGUAUCAGUCAAUAUGACUGCAGUUAUGUGUGUCUAUUCGGCACUGUUCAUGAGAUUUGCUUGGGUGGUGAACCCGCGUAACGUGCAUCUUAUGGUAUGCCAUGUAUCCAAUGAGACAGUGCAAUUGUAUCAACUCUCAAGGUGGAUUAGAGCUCAAAGGCAAAAGGAUCAUAAACAUGAAGUCUCGUGUUAGGGUCCAUGAGAAUAGAGGAACGAAGGAAUGCAACCAAGUGAGCUAACCUCUAUGAGCAAGUUCAGGGGCACUCAGCAGAAGAAAGAUGACAAAGAUGAAUGAAAUAUAAAGACUUUUAUCUUGUGAAUUUUUUUUUUAAUAAAAACUUGUAUUAAUUUUACUUUUGAAUAAGGAAGCGAGAGACAUUUGAAAUGAAUAAUUGUUUACAUUUCUUAAAGGAGAUACAUUUUCAUUUACUAAUA